rnacentral:tRNA from 1 species
GGAAAGAUGGCCGAGUGGUUGAAGGCACGGAUUUAGAAUGUCCGCUUAGAUUUUUCUAACGAGGGUUCGAAUCCCUCUCUUUCC